GCUGGAAAGCUGAGAGGUUACACGCAAAGUCACAGGCCUGGCCGGUGGUGUCAUGGGUAGAUGCUGGCGAGCUGAGGUUAGGCCCUCAGGGGAAGGCGGCAGGCAGGUGGGCAGGCGGGCAGGUGGGCAGGAUGGAGCGGGCGCCUCAGUACUCCUGCAGAUAUGUGUCCCUUUGGCAAACAAGGACUCCCUUUGUACAUGUAGCUGCGAGGUCACCCAGAUCUCGAGCCUCCCUGCCGACA